AUCAGGUAGGGACACCCGCUGAACUUAAGCAUAUCAAUAAGCGGAGGAAAAGAAAAUAACAAUGAUUCCCCUAGUAACUGCGAGUGAAGAGGGACAAGCUCAAAUUUAAAAUCUGUUAGGUUUUACCUGACCGAGUUGUAAUUUGAAGAGGCGUUUUCAUCGUUUUUGGUCAGCUCAAGUCCCAUUGAAUGAGGCAUCAUGGAGGGUGAUAAUCCCGUCCGGUUGAUCAAUGCGUUUUACGAUACGUCUUCCAAGAGUCAAGUUGUUUGGGAUUGCAGCUUAAAAUGGGAGGUAAAUUUCUCCUAAGGCUAAAUAACGGCGAGAGACCGAUAGCGAACAAGUACCGUGAGGGAAAGAUGAAAAGAACUUUGAAAAGAGAGUCAAACAGUACGUGAAAUUGUUGAAAGGGAAACGAUUGAAGCCAGUCGUACCGGCGGAUAGUCAGCCUUUCGAGUGCGAUUCUGUGGAGCGCGAGGAGCUUAAUCGCCUUCACGUCUUGCAUAUUCGUGCACUUUUGGUGUACUUGUCCGUGUGGUGAGUUAACAUCAAUUCCGGUCGGCAUAAAAUGAUUGGAGGAAUGUAGCUUCGAUCUCGUAUCGAAGUGUUAUAGACUCUGGUAGAUGUGACGAUUGGGAUUGAGGAUUGCAACGGAUACCCUUCGGGCUACCCGCCUGAUCUCUGAAGGUUGCUCCGGUGCCGAAAGCGUGCUUAUGGUCAUCGAAAGUGAUCGUCAAAAGGUUAGAACGGGUUAAAUUCGUUAAGGAUGUUGACGUAAUGGCUUUAAACGACCCGUCUUGAAACACGGACCAAGGAGUCUAACAUAUAUGCGAGUGUU
rnacentral:rRNA from 1 species